rnacentral:misc_RNA from 1 species
GCUCGAUAUCAGGUGUGGGAGCGCCCUUCUCUUUCUGCGAAAGGAAAAACCUGAUUCGCUUAAAACAUUCAUAGACGCUUCUAAUCUCAUCUCUAUUCCUUCUCCUGAGGAGGAUUUCGGCUUGGGACAGUUGAGGUGGAGUGGGAGGCGAUGGAGCGGCGGAAGUCUGGUCCAUCACUGGAAUUUGCGGUGGCGGUGGCUGAGGCAACUGGUGAAGUAGGGGCGGUGGUUCUGGAGCGAGUGGUCCGUAGUUCCGGCGCUUCUUGAGAGGCUGCUCCGCCGAGGCCAUGGCCCACUGCGAG